CAAAAGCUUUGGUCCUGACUUUUAUAAUCAGAAAAUACAGCCGGUUGGAUAGGCCUCAUCCCCGCCUGGGAUAAGGAGCUGGCAUCAGGCACAUAUGAUAUAGCCCAAGACGCCUAGUUAUAGCCACACCCCUAAGGGAACUCAGCAGUGAUAAAUAUUAAGCCAUAAGUGAAAGCUUGACUUAAUUAAAGUUAUUUAGGGCCGGUAAAACUCGUGCCAGCCACCGCGGUUAUACGAGAGACCCUAGUUGAUAGAAAACGGCGUAAAGAGUGGUUAGAGAGAUAAUAAAUCAAAUAAAGUCAAACAUUAUCAUGGCCGUUAAAAGCACUCUGAAAAUAUGAAGCCCUACCACGAAAGUGACUUUAUUUUCCUCGAUCCCACGAAAGCUAAGAAACAAACUGAGAUUAGAUACCCCACUAUGCUUAGCCUUAAACUUAGAUGUUAACAAUACAAGUAACAUCCGCCAGGGUACUACGAGCGCUAGCUUAAAACCCAAAGGACUUGACGGUGUCUCAGACCCACCUAGAGGAGCCUGUCCUAGAACCGAUAAUCCACGUUUAACCUCACCACCCUUUGUUCCCCCAGCCUAUAUACCGCCGUCGCAAGCUUACCCUAUGAAGGAUAAACAGUAAGCAAAAUGGAUAACUCAAAACGUCAGGUCGAGGUGUAGCUCACGGGGUGGGAAGAGAUGGGCUACAUUUUCUAUAUCAGAAUACACGGACGACACUAUGAAACUAGUGCCUAAAGGUGGAUUUAGUAGUAAAAAUCAAGCAGAGGGUCAUUUUGAACAAGGCUCUGAGAUGCGUACACACCGCCCGUCACCCUCCCCAAUAACACACUUUAAAAGUAAAUAACCAGACAACUAAAAAUACGGGGAGAUAAGUCGUAACAUGGUAAGUGUACCGGAAGGUGUACUUGGAACAU
rnacentral:ncRNA from 1 species